rnacentral:snRNA from 1 species
AUCGCUUCUCGGCCUUUUGGCUAAGAUCAAAGUGUAGUAUCUGUUCUUAUCAGCUUAAUAUCUGAUACGAGGACCAUGUGUCCUCUUCGAUAUUAAACUUAUUUCUGUUUCGGGGUGGAAGUGCGGUGCUUGCGCUGUCUCCACUACGAGUCGACCUGGUAUUGCAGUACCUCCAGGACCGGCUCACCACCC